rnacentral:rRNA from 1 species
AGUGAACGCUGGCGGUAGGCCUAACACAUGCAAGUCGAACGGCAGCACAGUAAGAGCUUGCUCUUACGGGUGGCGAGUGGCGGACGGGUGAGGAAUACAUCGGAAUCUACUUUUUCGUGGGGGAUAACGUAGGGAAACUUACGCUAAUACCGCAUACGACCUACGGGUGAAAGCAGGGGAUCUUCGGACCUUGCGCGAUUGAAUGAGCCGAUGUCGGAUUAGCUAGUUGGCGGGGUAAAGGCCCACCAAGGCGACGAUCCGUAGCUGGUCUGAGAGGAUGAUCAGCCACACUGGAACUGAGACACGGUCCAGACUCCUACGGGAGGCAGCAGUGGGGAAUAUUGGACAAUGGGCGCAAGCCUGAGCCAGCCAUACCGCGUGGGUGAAGAAGGCCUUCGGGUUGUAAAGCCCUUUUGUUGGGAAAGAAAAGCAGCAGGUUAAUACCCCGCUGUUCUGACGGUACCCAAAGAAUAAGCACCGGCUAACUUCGG